AUUGAACGCUGGCGGCAUGCCUUACACAUGCAAGUCGAACGGUAACGCGGGGCAACCUGGCGACGAGUGGCGAACGGGUGAGUAAUGUAUCGGAACGUGCCCAGUUGCGGGGGAUAACUGCUCGAAAGAGCAGCUAAUACCGCAUACGACCUGAGGGUGAAAGCGGGGGAUCGCAAGACCUCGCGCAAUUGGAGCGGCCGAUAUCAGAUUAGGUAGUUGGGGGGGUAAAGGCUCACCAAGCCAACGAUCUGUAGCUGGUCUGAGAGGACGACCAGCCACACUGGGACUGAGACACGGCCCAGACUCCUACGGGAGGCAGCAGUGGGGAAUUUUGGACAAUGGGGGCAACCCUGAUCCAGCCAUGCCGCGUGAGUGAAGAAGGCCUUCGGGUUGUAAAGCUCUUUCGGCAGGAACGAAACGGCGAGCUCUAACAUAGCUUGCUAAUGACGGUACCUGAAGAAGAAGCACCGGCUAACUACGUGCCAGCAGCCGCCGUAAAAC
rnacentral:rRNA from 1 species